rnacentral:ribozyme from 1 species
UGCACAGCAACUCCUAUCCCUACCUACUCGUGGUACUGGCUGGGGUACUAGUAACCUUAGGGAAGAUCGUAACCAACCACGGUGGGAACUCUGGUUGUAUGCUGACAUGGAAGG